GUGGCUCCAUCUGUGAUUGGCUGGGCUGCUGGAGGAGCCUGGAGGUGGUGAAUCGAGCGGUUAGGCCCGGAGGCUGAAGGUAGGGAGCAGUUGCAGUCGUGGGAGGGAAAAAAUAACGAAAAUUUGAUUUCCUUUUACUUCAUAUGAUAUUUUAAAAAAAAAAUCUAGAACAGAAAAUGAGGCUCCUCCGGUUCUGGGUCUGAGGCGUAGGCCUCAUUAGCCUCACUACAGGACCGACUUUGGCUGCGUGUGUUGGAAAAUGUUCUGCAAAAAUGUCGAAUACGCAACCAUCAACAUUUAACGUCGAUCCAGCGGUAAAAACAAGAACUGUUCUUCGUUGGUCAGUGUAGUAUACCGAUAGUUGACAUUACUGUGGUUGCCAGAAGUAAUAGAGAUUUCGGUAGUGGGUGAGAUUGAAAAGCACAGCCCAUAUAUCCUCAUGUUGUAGUAGAGCUAAUUAAUUUGAGGCUUGGUUGUAUCUGUGAAGCAAAGCUUCUAGCUUUCUG
rnacentral:lncRNA from 1 species